rnacentral:rRNA from 1 species
GGGAACAUACCCUUUUCCACGGAAUAGCUCUGGGAAACUGGAAUUAAUACCGUAUACGCCCUACGGGGGAAAGAUUUAUCGGGGAAGGAUUGGCCCGCGUUGGAUUAGCUAGUUGGUGGGGUAAAGGCCUACCAAGGCGACGAUCCAUAGCUGGUCUGAGAGGAUGAUCAGCCACAUUGGGACUGAGACACGGCCCAAACUCCUACGGGAGGCAGCAGUGGGGAAUAUUGGACAAUGGGCGCAAGCCUGAUCCAGCCAUGCCGCGUGAGUGAUGAAGGCCUUAGGGUUGUAAAGCUCUUUCACCGAUGAAGAUAAUGACGGUAGUCGGAGAAGAAGCCCCGGCUAACUUCGUGCCAGCAGCCGCGGUAAUACGAAGGGGGCUAGCGUUGUUCGGAAUUACUGGGCGUAAAGCGCACGUAGGCGGAUAUUUAAGUCAGGGGUGAAAUCCCAGAGCUCAACUCUGGAACUGCCUUUGAUACUGGGUAUCUUGAGUAUGGAAGAGGUAAGUGGAAUUGCGAGU